GAUGAACGCUGGCGGCGUGCCUAAUACAUGCAAGUCGAGCGAAUGGAUUAAGAGCUUGCUCUUAUGAAGUUAGCGGCGGACGGGUGAGUAACACGUGGGUAACCUGCCCAUAAGACUGGGAUAACUCCGGGAAACCGGGGCUAAUACCGGAUAAUAUUUUGAACUACAUGGUUCAAAAUUGAAAGGCGGCUUCGGCUGUCACUUAUGGAUGGACCGGCGUCGCAUUAGCUAGUUGGUGAGGUAACGGCUCACCAAGGCGACGAUGCGUAGCCGACCUGAGAGGGUGAUCGGCCACACUGGGACUGAGACACGGCCCAGACUCCUACGGGAGGCAGCAGUAGGGAAUCUUCCGCAAUGGACGAAAGUCUGACGGAGCAACGCCGCGUGAGUGAUGAAGGCUUUCGGGUCGUAAAACUCUGUUGUUAGGGAAGAACAAGUGCUAGUUGAAUAAGCUGGCACCUUGACGGUACCUAACCAGAAAGCCACGGCUAACUACGUGCCAGCCGCCGCGGUAA
rnacentral:rRNA from 1 species